CAUUUAUUAAUGUUCCUAUCAGAAUCAUCAGAUUAGACACUCUAAAGAUUCUAUCUGUUGAGCAAGAGCACAUGUUGGCCCUUCUAAAGCCUCGGUUCUCAAGGGGAAAUGGAAACCAGACAGAAAGGGACCUCGGUGUGCCUCAGGCCUGCUGCCUGGUUUCCAAUAAGCUCUCCUCUGAUUUUUUCUUGUUCUGGGCCCGUGGGCCAAAUUGACUUGUCCUUGAUGUCUAAUCUACCAGAAAGUACUGAGAUGAUCCUCUCUCAGCAAACUGUUGGCUGCACCAAUGAGACUGAGUAGCCUGGUCCCUGAGAUGACAGUUCUUUAUAUUAUACUGUGUUUUGGACGAGUCGCUGAGUAGGUGACUGUUUCUGUCAGAAACUUGCUGUUUACAUUCUUUGUUUAUACUGCAUUAUCUGGCUGUUACACCCCGUUGGUAACUAAUAUGGUACUGUUACAUUGGGGUCUUAACAUUGCCUGCCAUUCUGUGAGGGAUAGUCUGGAGAAUAUUCCCCUAGAGAAACAGACAACUUAAGUCCUAUUACAAGCCAGGUAAUUAAAUUCCCCCCACUUACUUCUUACUAUUGCUACAGUUGGAUUCGGGAUUCAGCCCUGGCCUGUGUGUUUUACUGCAAAGGUCUAGCUGAUAGAAACCCAGUCACCACCACCACACCACCCCCAUCAAGAGGGGAGUCCUAAAACAGUGGACAAAAUGUAGCAUUAUUCUAUUUUGUUUUCCAAAGAAGAAAUUUGUUUGAGAUUCAAAAAUUUUGAUGGAUCGUGCUGUAACAGAGGGACUUUGACAAAAUGCCCAAGUUUGAGCCACAGUGCUUGAGAAAAACUGGACAGGCCUGAUAUGAUAAAAGAUGGUAGGGCUUCCCUGCCCCUGGGCUCAUGCUUCCUGGAUCCCUCCCCAGGUCUGAGUUGCAUGCGGGGUGCUCUCUGUGAGCCGUAUCUACCGUCAGGCUGACAAAUGGGAUCCCCCACCCUCUGCGCUUUCACUCCAAUAGGACUCACAAGCCUGGCAUUGAGGAAUGAGUACAUGAUUGCAGCCAGAAGGCCUGGGCCCCUGGAUCUGGUUCUUAUCACCUGUAUAACCUAAUGCUGGUCAUCCCUUAUCAAUCCCCUCACCUAGAAAAUGGGCUUGCUGGUAACCCCUGCUUUAUGUGGCUAUAAGCACAGAAGCAAUCACCACACAUGCAUUAAUUUUCUAUUAUUAUUUUUACCCUAACAAACUUCAAAAAGACAUCGUUUUCAUGCACAUUAUUCUAGUGUGGCAUUGAGGCAUGUUGCCUUUAAGAGUCAAACUGCAGUCAAGGACCAGUGGCUGGCACAGUGCCUGCAAUGCUGUCUGUUGACCAAUCACUUGUCUUUUCAUGCCCUCCCUUUUUCUUUCUUUCUCUU